rnacentral:rRNA from 1 species
GACGGGGGAUGCAAGUGUUAUCCGGAAUAAUUGGGCGUAAAGCGUCUGUAGGUGGUUUACCAAGUCUGUUGUUAAAAAUCAGGGCUUAACCCUGAUCCGGCAACAGAAACUAGUAGGCUGGAGUACGGUAGGGGCAGAGGGAAUUCUCGGUGUAGUGGUGAAAUACGUAGAUAUCGAGAAGAACACCAAUAGCGAAAGCACUCUGCUGGGCCGACACUGACACUGAGAGACGAAAGCUAGGGGAGCGAAUGGG